UAUAUCUAAGAAACUGCCAACAACAGAGGUAGCCAAACGGCCCGACUCAACAAAAGCAGUAAUUUCUAAAAAACAAGAACAGAACUUUAAUAGAAUCCAUAGAAAAUCCAAACAGCUAGAAAGCCAAAACAAGCUAGAAACAGUACCGCAUUGCGGCUUCCAUUGCCUUCAGCCUCCAUAUGCGGCCACAGCUUCUUAAAAACCU
rnacentral:misc_RNA from 1 species